UUCUGAGUUAUUUAAAGUUGUAUUUUAAAAUGUAGAGUUUUUUUACUUAGUUUUUUGUUCAAAUUACCAGUUGUUCAGUAUAUUUUAAACUAUAAAUUACUCUAUAACAGUAUAAUUACAUUUUAUAUUAUAAUAUAUCUCCAACUUCCCACUUGUAAAACAAUGGUGUGCCUACGAGCAGUAUAUGUUUUUUUUUCUGCAUCAUGAAGAUUUGUUUAUAUGAAAAAUACUAUCGAAUACUGCUUACAAAGGUAACGUGAAAUUCGAUUAAACAAAAUAUUAAAUAAUAUUAUUAAGUCCAUAAUACAUUUCUGAUUUUCUUUUUUUUUUGUUUUUAACAACGCGCGAAAUACGCGUAGUCGAACCGAGAUCGAAACAAAAAAAAAAAAACAAGUUGACGCUGUGGUAUCAAAAAGUAUUCACGUGUUAAACCGUUCAAGGCGAACACAGAGUGCGAGAAUGCAUUGUCACAAUGUGUUCACGAUUAAAAGUAAAGUAUUGUGCGCAGGACAUAAUUUUAGUUAAUGAUAUUAUUUUUUUCUUCUUUUAAAGUAUCUCGUCAGCAGCAUAAAAUCGUUAUUUUAUUGCAUAAAUAACAAGAACUCGU